rnacentral:rRNA from 1 species
CCUACGGGGGGCAGCAGUGGGGAAUAUUGGACAAUGGGGGCAACCCUGAUCCAGCCAUGCCGCGUGUGUGAAGAAGGCCCUCGGGUUGUAAAGCACUUUCAGUGAGGAAGAACGCCUGGUGGUUAAUACCCAUCAGGAAAGACAUCACUCACAGAAGAAGCACCGGCUAACUCCGUGCCAGCAGCCGCGGUAAUACGGAGGGUGCGAGCGUUAAUCGGAAUUACUGGGCGUAAAGCGCGCGUAGGUGGCUUGAUAAGCCGGUUGUGAAAGCCCCGGGCUCAACCUGGGAACGGCAUCCGGAACUGUCAAGCUAUAGUGCAGGAGAGGAAGGUAGAAUUCCCGGUGUAGCGGUGAAAUGCGUAGAGAUCGGGAGGAAUACCAGUGGCGAAGGCGGCCUUCUGGACUGACACUGACACUGAGGUGCGAAAGCGUGGGUAGCAAACAGGAUUAGAUACCCUGGUAGUC